rnacentral:rRNA from 1 species
UACGAAGGGGGCUAGCGUUGCUCGGAAUCACUGGGCGUAAAGGGUGCGUAGGCGGGUCUUUAAGUCAGGGGUGAAAUCCUGGAGCUCAACUCCAGAACUGCCUUUGAUACUGAAGAUCUCGAGUCCGGGAGAGGUGAGUGGAACUGCGAGUGUAGAGGUGAAAUUCGUAGAUAUUCGGAGGAACACCAGAAGCGAAGGCGGCUCACUGGCCCGAUACUGACGCUGAGGCGCGAAAGCGUGGGGAGCAAACAGG